AGAACUGUGUGAGGCAUGACUGGUAAGGGUGCUAGAACUAAUUGUCACACAAACAAGACCAGGUGAAACAACUUAUUUAAAGUAAGCCAAACGAUCAGAAGAUGAGAAGGUGAACGGGAAGCUGGGCUCUUUGUUUGUUCAGGGGGCGAGCUGAUUCAGUGCAUAAUGCAAACUGCUAAAACAAGCAUUUUGAUUCAUCAUGAGAGGGGCUGAUUACUAAUGUAUUAUUGGAAUGCACAAGCUACUAAAACGAGGCGGUUGCACUCGAGGGACAGUGGGCGCACGUGUGGUGUUUACUUU